rnacentral:rRNA from 1 species
AGAGUUUGAUCCUGGCUCAGGAUGAACGCUGGCGGCGUGCUUAACACAUGCAAGUCGAACGAACCUUCGGGUUAGUGGCGGACGGGUGAGUAACGCGUGAGAAUCUGCCCUCAGGAGGGGGAUAACGGCUGGAAACGGCCGCUAAUACCCCAUAUGCCGAGAGGUGAAACGAGUUUUCGCCUGAGGAUGAGCUCGCGUCUGAUUAGCUAGUUGGUGGGGUAAGAGCCUACCAAGGCAUCGAUCAGUAGCUGGUCUGAGAGGAUGAUCAGCCACACUGGGACUGAGACACGGCCCAGACUCCUACGGGAGGCAGCAGUGGGGAAUUUUCCGCAAUGGGCGAAAGCCUGACGGAGCAACGCCGCGUGAGGGAUGAAGGCCUCUGGGCUGUAAACCUCUUUUAUCAAGGAAGAAGAUCUGACGGUACUUGAUGAAUAAGCCACGGCUAAUUCCGUGCCAGCAGCCGCGGUAAUACGGGAGUGGCAAGCGUUAUCCGGAAUUAUUGGGCGUAAAGCGUCCGCAGGCGGCCUGAUAAGUCUGUUGUCAAAGCGUGGAGCUUAACUCCAUUUCGGCAAUGAAAACUGUGAGGCUUGAGUGUGGUAGGGGCAGAGGGAAUUCCCGGUGUAGCGGUGAAAUGCGUAGAUAUCGGGAAGAACACCAGUGGCGAAGGCGCUCUGCUGGGCCAUAACUGACGCUCAUGGACGAAAGCCAGGGGAGCGAAAGGGAUUAGAUACCCCUGUAGUCCUGGCCGUAAACGAUGAACACUAGGUGUCGGGGGAAUCGACCCCCUCGGUGUCGUAGCCAACGCGUUAAGUGUUCCGCCUGGGGAGUACGCACGCAAGUGUGAAACUCAAAGGAAUUGACGGGGGCCCGCACAAGCGGUGGAGUAUGUGGUUUAAUUCGAUGCAACGCGAAGAACCUUACCAGGGUUUGACAUCCUGCGAAUCCCUUGGAAACUUGGGAGUGCCUUCGGGAGCGCAGAGACAGGUGGUGCAUGGCUGUCGUCAGCUCGUGUCGUGAGAUGUUGGGUUAAGUCCCGCAACGAGCGCAACCCACGUCUUUAGUUGCCAGCAUUCAGUUGGGCACUCUAGAGAGACCGCCGGUGAUAAACCGGAGGAAGGUGUGGAUGACGUCAAGUCAUCAUGCCCCUUACAUCCUGGGCUACACACGUACUACAAUGCUACGGACAAAGGGCAGCAAACUCGCGAGAGCUAGCAAAUCCCAUAAACCGUGGCUCAGUUCAGAUCGUAGGCUGCAACUCGCCUACGUGAAGGAGGAAUCGCUAGUAAUCGCAGGUCAGCAUACUGCGGUGAAUACGUUCCCGGGCCUUGUACACACCGCCCGUCACACCAUGGAAGUUGGCCACGCCCGAAGCCGUUACUCCAACCCUUGUGGAGGAGGACGUCGAAGGUGGGGCUGAUGACUGGGGUGAAGUCGUAACAAGGUA